AUACUAACCUGGCAGGAGAGAUAACAUGAUCGCGAAGGUGGUUUUCCCAGGGUGAGGCUUAUCCAUUGCACUUCGGAUGUGCUGUCCCCUGUGAUUUCCCCAAAUGUGGGAAACUCGACUGCAUGAUUUGUGGUAGUGGGGGACUAUAUUUAAGCUCUUCCCUG
ensembl:snRNA U1 U1 spliceosomal RNA